GUGUAUUACAUUAGUGCUUGCUAUUCAAAUCCUUGCAACUUUUUAGACUUGUACAUUGCAGACCAUCUAAAUAACUCAGCAAAAGCAAAACCUGCCUUGAGGCACUCUGUCCUCAGGUGAAUUUAAAUUUUGAAAAGGGGAGAUUAUUCUGACACAGUUUAAAGGCUUUUCUCCAAAAUCUGUCACAGGUAACAACUGUGUCCAGGCAGAAGUUCAUUCCUUCCACUAUGACAAAGAAGACAGACCAAAGAGAUCCAGUUCACACACUGAGCAUGCCUUGACUUCACUCAAAAAAGAACUGCAACAGCCGAAGGAGGCGGUCCCCAUGACUCCGAGAAGAGGUUUCCACUGGAUCACUUCUUGCUGCUUGGAGUACCUUCCUAAGAGGAAGACUUGUAUCUAUCCAGGAGGAUCUUCAUGGUGGUUUAACUCCAUCGUCCAUUGUUAUUCUUGACAGUAUUCAUCAUGAAAUGGAGACAUAUUGCUGCAGCUCAGGGUAAGAAAAAACUAAAUUGAAAUUUGUUAGUUUGAAGUUAUGUCUGGUUAUAGUUAUGAACUUAAAUCUUUAUCUGGAAGUCAAUUCUACCCAUCCAUCUUGCCUUAGAUUUAGAAUGCAAUUCCUCUUUUUUAUUUGAUGUUCACAUUUUUCUUCAACCUGUGUGAUUUAUUUUUAUGAUUGGCAUCUUGGUAAGAUUAAUUUUUAUCAUUUACUCUCAGUAUGUUAAUACUUACACAUAACUUUAUUAGUUCCUGCCUUGAUGAAGUAAAAUUUAUUCUUAAUUAAUGAAAUAUCCUACCUAGGCUAAAUGGUAUUCAUAGAGAAUUGUAAUAAAUGUAUCAGAGAAAUGAACUAUGUUGAAUUA
rnacentral:lncRNA from 1 species